rnacentral:rRNA from 1 species
UACGUAGGGGGCUAGCGUUGUCCGGAUUUAUUGGGCGUAAAGAGCGUGUAGGCGGCCAGAUAGGUCUGCUGUGAAAACUCGAGGCUCAACCUCGAGAUGUCGGCGGAAACUUUCUGGCUAGAGUCCGGAAGAGGAGAAUGGAAUUCCUGGUGUAGCGGUGAAAUGCGCAGAUAUCAGGAAGAACACCCGUGGCGAAGGCGGCUCUCUGGGACGGUACUGACGCUGAGACGCGAAAGCGUGGGGAGCGAACAGG